ACCAGUGUGAUGUAGUGGUUUGAGCAUUGGACUAUGACUCUGGAGACCAGGGUUCGAUUCUCAGCUCAGCUA